AAUCAUCUGACGUUGGAUGGUUUCCCCGGAUCGUGGCGAUGCGGGGGAAUAAUUGGGAAUGUGACGGAUGGACCCAAAUCGGGCAUCCUUAUCGCAGCCGACCCCGCGACUGUAGAACGGUCAGGGUUCGCCAUCGGGCUGAUAGCCGGCUUCCUUUCGAUUGCAUGGGGCAAUCGAAGGCGGUUUGGAAUUCAGCCGGAAAAGCCACUGGCGUGGCUUCGUGAUCAGCCGGGUUGGACGCCUCUUCUUCUACGAAUCGUCCGCCUUUCACGAAACCAGAAAACGCCGGGAAGGUGAGGCGGGCCGUUCGGGCCCAAGCAUCGGUCUUCGCGUGAUCACGCGGGGCGCGAUGUGGUGGACUCGUGACGCCGUGAGCCAGGAGACCUGCCGUCCGACAGGGGCAUUC
rnacentral:ncRNA from 1 species